UGGACGUGGCUGCGAACCUGCAGGGGUUAGAUGCCAGGGUCAUGGCCCUUGUCGGGUGGGAUACCCUAGGCGGUAUUGCGGGCAGCCACAAUGUUGCCCCACAAGGGACUGUUACACUGACGGAUGUCGUCGUCGUUAGUGCCCAAGCACCAGCAGAAGAGCCUGCAGAAAUAGAAGACCCUGUACGGCAAGAAGAGUCUGCAUCAGCAGAAGCCCCUACAAUGGCUCCAGAACCAGCGGGGAGCAGUGGUCUGGUGCAACCUCGCCCGAACAGCCAGCCAGGAACACGGGUUCAACGUCGCAGAAGGCGGAG